rnacentral:rRNA from 1 species
AACGAACGCUGGCGGCAUGCCUAACACAUGCAAGUCGAACGAGACCUUCGGGUCUAGUGGCGCACGGGUGCGUAACGCGUGGGAAUCUGCCCUUGGGUUCGGAAUAACAGUGAGAAAUUACUGCUAAUACCGGAUGAUGUCUUCGGACCAAAGAUUUAUCGCCCAGGGAUGAGCCCGCGUAGGAUUAGCUAGUUGGUGGGGUAAUGGCCUACCAAGGCGACGAUCCUUAGCUGGUCUGAGAGGAUGAUCAGCCACACUGGGACUGAGACACGGCCCAGACUCCUACGGGAGGCAGCAGUGGGGAAUAUUGGACAAGGGGCGCAAGCCUGAUCCAGCAAUGCCGCGUGAGUGAUGAAGGCCUUAGGGUUGUAAAGCUCUUUUACCCGGGAUGAUAAGGACAGUACCGGGAGAAUAAGCUCCGGCUAACUCCGUG